AUCUGUAAAUGGGCUGUAAUAAAUUUCAUUAGAAUUCAAAAAUGGGUUGUACAUUCUUACAAAUCGUAAAUCUCUAUUCGUAAUGAAGCAGAUGUUAGUCUCGCUUCCAGGUUUUUUAUCCCAUCUUUCAUGGUUUUUUUACCUUCUCACACCUCACACUGAGCCGCCACGAACCGAAAAAACCUCGUACCGAGGCCCCCACCCGCCCCACGCAUUCCAGGGCGUUACCUCCGAUCGCACCCAAGACAAGCGAAGUAAAUAAAAUCUACGAAAAUUAACCAACGAAAAAAAACUUACCACAAAAAACGGACCACGACAAAGGCCCCUCGCACCAAAAAAACGGACGAAGCGAAGGAGCGACGAUCCCUCGAUCUAUUCGCGACGCGAACAACGACGCCGCCGCCAUCGCGGAUCCCAGGCGCUAGCCGCGGAUCCCGUUGCCGGUGUCGAGGGGUCGUGGAGGCGCCGCCGCCGAGGUCCUAAAGGAGGCGCCGCCGUCGAGGUCCUAAAGGAGGCGCCGCUGCCAUCGUUGUGGACCUCCGGGUCGCCAUCGGGACACCUCUGCUGAGGUACGCCUUCGCCUUCGCACGGUGAUGGGCAUGGUGGCGGAAGAAGGUCGUCUUCCCAGAGCACCGCACGCUGGCCGCCGUCUCCAUCCGCGGCCGCACCAACAAGACAGCAAGAAUCAUACCCCACCCACGCGGCGGCACGACGCAGAAGGGCUACAUGGGUCUAUAGCGGCGCGCGCAAUGGAAGGACACCUAUGGGAACAAGCUCACCGAGGUCUUGGAAUUCCAACCUAGAUAAACAAGUGAACUCAUUUUAACAGUUUCCCUUUUUUUGUGAUGCAGGCUAGCUCAUUCAUUAAGGGCUACUCAGCUCUGUUUUUUCCCUCCCUUUGGAGAUUGGAUUAUAUGGUACUCUGUGUUGAAGGAUCUGUUCAUGCCAAAUUUAAUAAAUCUUGUCAUGUUUUCAUAGGUUGCCUAUUUUCUCACUCUGCAUGGAAUGGUGAACGUUUGUAGCAUGGUCACUUGGUCAGGUUUUGAUUAUUUUUGUCACUGCACAUACCUUCAGAAAAUAACCCAAUGAGGCUAGCUUGUUCUUUCUACUUAUACACCUACGCAUGGGAUGCUCUGUUAGUUUUGUUGUGCAAAUAAUCAUUAUUCCUGUUGAUGAGCAAUGAUGAUGGCUCCCAAAACUACAACAUUUGCUGCUUCAGUGUAUGUGUACCGAAUCGUAAAAGAAUAUGAUUAUAUCUUUUGCUUUGUAGUGCACCUGUUCACGAGAAUGAUGCUGAGAAGGCAAUAGGUCCUGCUUGCUAGCUUUGUCAUGGACACGCUUCAAAACUGUCUCUGUCCAUGGGGUUAUUGAUUACUGCUUGUGAUGUUUAAGAGUGAUGCACAGGAACAGGAUUAUUUUUAUGUGAAGGUGGAUAGAAAUAACUUUACUUGAGAAGGAGCUUUCCAUUGCAUCUGAUUUGUACUAUCAGUAUCAGACUUCAUUCCUGUGAAGUAACAUUUGGGCAAAAUGGGCAACAUGUGUUUGGUCAUUGCCGUGCUUUGGUUUUUAGGCUCGUGCUAUGAUAACUUGAUGACACCCCUUUAUAGACAUUAUAGUAUAGAGCAUUCUCAUGCAUUAAGUCCAGUGCAAGGAAAAUUGAUAAAGUCUGCUAACUGGAACAGGAUAGUUGAUCCUUUCAAUGGAGAGUACAAAUUUAUUGCAAUAAUCUAUAUAUGCCGAACCUGUACACCUUGCAAUAGGUAGAGAUGGCUAAAUUUUGUAGCUUUUUGUUCCCUUUUUUCCCAUCAAAAUUAUGGAUUUGGAAGCUAUUCAUGGAGUGUUUCAGUUGCCUGCUAUAUUAUGGAUUUGCAAUGAGCACAAGCCUGCAACCUUGAAGGAAAAGUUGUUGCUGCUGAAGACAUGACACUGUGGGUGAGAUCUUUUAUUAUGUUAGUACAGAGUACAGACUGAUAUUAUGUCGCAGCAACAAUGUAUAGAGCUUCAGAGCUCAUUCUUCUCUUCACAUAAGGUUCGGUUUAGAGUUCAUGCUUUGUGCUUAUUAAAAAACAAAGAAAAGGAAUGAGUUGCUUGAUAUAUUGGCAUGUAUAUAGUGUAAAAAAACAUGCUUACAGUUCUAACAUGAAUUUUAUUGAACUGAGAGUUGUGAUAUGCAAAUGUUUUAUGGUCGAAGGUUCUGUACCAUCGGUUAUAUUGUAUAAAAAUGGUCUCUGCUUUCAUCUUCUUUGAUGACAUAUUUUCUUGUAAAAAUUGAAAUGCAUUAUGCACCUGUUCUUUUCAAGGUGGUUCCAUUUUUUGUCAAUUUAUAAACUUUUUAUGAAUAGUAAUAUAGACGCAUGUUCUUAAUCUAUUUUGGAUUUUUGUUCACCCCGAAAUGCAGUGUAGAUCUGCCAUUGACAUUUUUUUGGAGCACUGGUUGAACAUUUGCUGAGAUGUUGAUAGGAAAAGCCUUUGUUUCCUCAUAAAAUGUUGUCCAUUAGUUAAACUUAUUGGAUACAUGCAGUGGGCAUGAUGACCAUGUACAACUUUUUUCAGUUAGAAUUGUGUCUGCUAUUGAUCUAUCUAACUUAAUACAAAGAACUCUGCAUGUUUUGGAAACAAGAGGUAAUGCAAACAUUUAAUUCUGUUGUGAACUUCUGAUUCAGCCUUGGGGCAUGGACGGCGAGAAGUGUAGGCAUGUGCCUAGCGUACCGGACCAUGAUGGAUUGAUGAGCUGAUGUCAUGUGGCGGCUGGUUAACCGGCGGCGGUUGGAGCCAUCAUCCACCACGAGUUCGCGCUAGGAGCACAUGGGCAAAGGAGAGGAUAUGUUGGUGCUGUUGGAAUAAGGUUUAUUGGGUCGUCCUCCUCCAGCAACAUAUUACACAAUGUACUUAAGCCGAUUUAUUCUCUUUGGUAAAAAUGGCCCUCAUUUGCUUGAUAAAACUUUACUUUCGUAAAACUAAUUGAGUUAGGAACCAUAACAUAUACUACUACAUCUAUGUCUGGUAUCUAUCUGAUUAUAUUAAACUGACAGUUUAUUCUUCUUGCUGGAA